rnacentral:rRNA from 1 species
AUGGCUGCUUCUUCCUCCUCUGUUUCCCACAUCCUCAACCAACAAGUCUUUGAAAAGCUCACAAGAGAGAAUUAUGUCUUGUGGAAGGCGCAAGUCCUGCCCCCAAUUCGAGGUGCCAUGCUUGCCGGUUAUCUGGAUGGGCCGGUUCAGGCGCCGGAGAAAACCAUCACCACUACCACGGAUGGGGGAAGUCAGGAAGCUGUCAAUCCUGCCUAUGCCCAAUGGCUUGCCCAAGAUCAACAAGUUCUGGGGUACGUGUUCAAUUCUCUCUCGAAGGAAGUGUUGACUCAGGUCGCCUCAUUG